GACGAACGCUGGCGGCGUGCUUAACACAUGCAAGUCGAACGGAAAGGCCCUGCUUUUGUGGGGUGCUCGAGUGGCGAACGGGUGAGUAACACGUGAGUAACCUGCCCUUGACUGUGGGAUAACUUCAGGAAACUGGGGCUAAUACCGGAUAGGAGCUCCUGCUGCAUGGGGGGGGUUGGAAAGUUUCGGCGGUUGGGGAUGGACUGGCGGCUUAUCAGCUUGUUGGUGUGGUAGUGGCUUACCAAGGCUUUGACGGGUAGCCGGCCUGAGAGGGUGACCGGCCACAAUGGGACUGCGAUACGGACCAGACUCCUACGGGAGGCAGCAGUGGGGAACAUGGCACAAUGGGCGGAAGCCUGAUGCAGCAACGUCGCGUGCGGGAUGACGGCCUUCGGGUUGUAAACCGCUUUCGCAUGUGACGAAGCGUGAGUGACGGUAAUGGGUAAAGAAGCACCGGCUAACUACGUG
rnacentral:rRNA from 1 species